UACGGGGGGGGCAAGCGUUGUUCGGAAUUAUUGGGCGUAAAGCGCACGUAGGCGGUCCGUUAAGUCGGAUGUGAAAGCCCCCGGCUCAACCGGGGAAGUGCAUCCGAAACUGGCGGGCUAGAGUACGAAAGAGGGUCGCGGAAUUCCCGGUGUAGAGGUGAAAUUCGUAGAUAUCGGGAGGAACACCGGUGGCGAAGGCGGCGACCUGGGUCGAUACUGACGCUGAGGUGCGAAAGCGUGGGGAGCAAACAGG
rnacentral:rRNA from 1 species